AUUGAACGCUGGCGGCAUGCUUUACACAUGCAAGCCGAACGGCAGCAUGUCCUCCGGGAUGAUGGCGAGUGGCGAACGGGUGAGUAAUGCAUCGGAAUGUACCGUGUAAUGGGGGAUAACUGUCCGAAAGGAUAGCUAAUACCGCAUACGCUCUGAGGAGGAAAGCUGGGGAUCUGGAAACGGACCUGGCGUUAUACGAGCAGCCGAUGUCCGAUUAGCUAGUUGGUGAGGUAAAGGCUCACCAAGGCGGCGAUCGGUAGCGGGUCUGAGAGGGCGAACCGCCACACUGGAACUGAGAGACGGUACAGACGCCUACGGGAGGCAGCAGUGGGGAAUUUUGGACAAUGGGCGCAAGCCUGAUCCAGCAAUGCCGCGUGAGUGAAGAAGGCCCUUGGGUUGUAAAGCUCUUUCGUUUGGGAAGAAGGAAUUGUGGUUAAUACCCAUGAUGACAGACGGUACCAAAAUAAGAAGCACCGGCUAACUACGUGCCAGCCGCCGCAGUAA
rnacentral:rRNA from 1 species